ACCAUCCGGUUUUACAAUUGAAAAUUCUUAUUGUUAAGGGAGGAAAAGUAACUCUGAAGCUGACCACAGUGCUUUGUAGCGUGUUGGUUAGUUUCAAACAGGU
rnacentral:snoRNA from 1 species